rnacentral:rRNA from 1 species
GAUGAACGCUGGCGGCGUGCCUAAUACAUGCAAGUCGAGCGAACGGACGAGAAGCUUGCUUUUCUGAUGUUAGCGGCGGACGGGUGAGUAACACGUGGAUAACCUACCUAUAAGACUGGGAUAACUUCGGGAAACCGGAGCUAAUACCGGAUAAUAUUUUGAACCGCAUGGUUCAAAAGUGAAAGACGGUCUUGCUGUCACUUAUAGAUGGAUCCGCGCUGCAUUAGCUAGUUGGUAAGGUAACGGCUUACCAAGGCAACGAUGCAUAGCCGACCUGAGAGGGUGAUCGGCCACACUGGAACUGAGACACGGUCCAGACUCCUACGGGAGGCAGCAGUAGGGAAUCUUCCGCAAUGGGCGAAAGCCUGACGGAGCAACGCCGCGUGAGUGAUGAAGGUCUUCGGAUCGUAAAACUCUGUUAUUAGGGAAGAACAUAUGUGUAAGUAACUGUGCACAUCUUGACGGUACCUAAUCAGAAAGCCACGGCUAACUACGUGCCAGCAGCCGCGGUAAUACGUAGGUGGCAAGCGUUAUCCGGAAUUAUUGGGCGUAAAGCGCGCGUAGGCGGUUUUUUAAGUCUGAUGUGAAAGCCCACGGCUCAACCGUGGAGGGUCAUUGGAAACUGGAAAACUUGAGUGCAGAAGAGGAAAGUGGAAUUCCAUGUGUAGCGGUGAAAUGCGCAGAGAUGUGGAGGAACACCAGUGGCGAAGGCGACUUUCUGGUCUGUAACUGACGCUGAUGUGCGAAAGCGUGGGGAUCAAACAGGAUUAGAUACCCUGGUAGUCCACGCCGUAAACGAUGAGUGCUAAGUGUUAGGGGGUUUCCGCCCCUUAGUGCUGCAGCUAACGCAUUAAGCACUCCGCCUGGGGAGUACGACCGCAAGGUUGAAACUCAAAGGAAUCGACGGGGGCCCGCACAAGCGGUGGAGCAUGUGGUUUAAUUCGAAGCAACGCGAAGAACCUUACCAAAUCUUGACAUCCUUUGACAACUCUAGAGAUAGAGCCUUCCCCUUCGGGGGACAAAGUGACAGGUGGUGCAUGGUUGUCGUCAGCUCGUGUCGUGAGAUGUUGGGUUAAGUCCCGCAACGAGCGCAACCCUUAAGCUUAGUUGCCAUCAUUAAGUUGGGCACUCUAAGUUGACUGCCGGUGACAAACCGGAGGAAGGUGGGGAUGACGUCAAAUCAUCAUGCCCCUUAUGAUUUGGGCUACACACGUGCUACAAUGGACAAUACAAAGGGCAGCGAAACCGCGAGGUCAAGCAAAUCCCAUAAAGUUGUUCUCAGUUCGGAUUGUAGUCUGCAACUCGACUACAUGAAGCUGGAAUCGCUAGUAAUCGUAGAUCAGCAUGCUACGGUGAAUACGUUCCCGGGUCU